UACGGGGGGGGGCAAGCGUUUGUUCGGAAUUACUGGGCGUAAAGGGCUCGUAGGCGGCCAACUAAGUCAGACGUGAAAUCCCUCGGCUUAACCGGGGAACUGCGUCUGAUACUGGAUGGCUUGAGAUUGGGAGAGGGAUGCGGAAUUCCAGGUGUAGCGGUGAAAUGCGUAGAUAUCUGGAGGAACACCGGUGGCGAAGGCGGCCUUCUGGACAGCAACUGACGCUGAGACGCGAAAGCGUGGGGAGCAAACAGG
rnacentral:rRNA from 1 species